rnacentral:misc_RNA from 1 species
AGUUCUGGCCAAUAUGGCGUCUGCUAUUAUUGUGCUGUCAGUCCCACCUCGACACAUUUUCCACUCCCGUCACUUCCCUUAGGCCUCUAUCGUGCUAAGUGAUGCUUGUGCUAAUCAGGAUUAUGGCCCAAGCUGUCAAUGGACCGACAAUCGGUAAGACAGCGUGCCAGACGUCACCCGCUGCCCUGGUCCUCGUCUCUCCGGCUGAGGUAUGAGCGCGAGAGGUUGGAGCUACAAAAAAGACUCACAGAGCAGCUGGUGUCUGAUGUGUUUGGCCUUUAUGAGAAGUCACUGUUUGUUGACUUGAAGCUUGAAGCAUCACGAGGCAACGUUUACUGCCACCAGCUGUUCUUUGCUGCAAGAGUCCCUGCUGUGUGGCACCUCCUACAGGAAAUUGCCAAGUACCAAUACUGUGGGCGAAAGCCUGCAAGAGACCUUAUUUGUAUCCAACUUCCAGAUGUUGAAUACAAAGAACUGCAGAAAUUCACACGGAGUCUUUACAGUGAGGAGAACAGUCGUGCGGCAGGGGCAGCUCUACGACGCAAAUUAGAGGGUAUCCUCCUAGUGCAGCAGCAGCGAGCACUCCUCCACCGCAGCCAGAUUAGAAUUGAGAAACUGAGCCACGAAGAGGAACAGCGCGUCCAGCGGCUCAUUUUGGAGCAACUGCGUUUGGGACACCUGAGUGAGAAAAAGGGCAAUGUGCGGGAAGUGGGUCGCCGUCCCAUAGGCCAUGACACCCCACACCCCCGCAUCCUUCACUCCAGCACUCCACCAGAAAAUACAGACUCCUGCAUCAUACCCACAGCUGCACUGGUGAAGGACACAGCCCCCCAAGGGUCAGUGAGGCCCAAGUCUAAUCUGAGAGUUGCCGCUCGACGAUCAGAGUUGCCCACGCAGACAAUGAACGUCACUGACCAUCCCGUAGCAGGAUUGGCCCAGUGCAGUGCCAAGGAUGGAUCAAGGUCUGGCAUCAGUAACUGUAACAGUGUGGAAGACAACCUGGACAAUCAUGGAGUGCAGACCCAGAAUGGCAAGAUCCCACGCAAGAGUUCAAUGACCCUCCCCAAGAAGUCGCCUCCUCAGGAUGACACCUCCCCGGGCGCUCCGCUGUCCAGCCAGGAGUCUCCGGUCUUCAAUGUCUGUAUGAUCAAGGAGCUUCAGACCUCCCCAAUGCAGGUGAGUGGGGAGUCCCUGCAGGAACGGCUACGGGACAAGAAGGAGACGUCUCCUCGGGGUUCACAAAGGUCCUCCUACUCAGAGACUACUCCAGUUGCAGACCCAGAGCAACCCUCUGGUGAUACAAUGAUUUACUCUAAUGGGGAUGCUGCUGCAAGCCCUCCAGGAAGCAAGGGAUCAAAGGAAGGACGGCCCCUGCGAUACGGAGCCAUGUUCAGCACAAAGGAGAAUGCCUUUUUGCACCAAGCUGACAUGUAUGCUCGUCAGCAGCACCAAGCCGGCCCCUCCUUAGCACUGGCAAAGCACUGCUUGCCUCGUAAAAGUCAGUCUUUUGGAGCAGAAUCUCAGGACAGUGCUGAUCUGGAAAACACAAGCGCCAGCAACAGUGGUAGUGAACAGCGACUAAGCAACCUCCAUGAAACUUCCAGUUUGGAAGUAGAACUGCCCAGUAGCCAUGAGGACAACUCCAGCAGCCAUGACUCAGAGAGCAGUCCCGUGGCUGCUGGACAGAAAUGGCAAUCAGAAAAUAUUGAUGGGAAGCAUGUUCCUGAUGCCAGGUCAGAGAGAAACAGCAACUGGCUUAGAGAGCAGGAAAGGGAAGGGGAAGCCCCAUCUCCACCCAUAGAUCCCUUGAGGCCCCUGGUUAGAGCCAGAACAUUCGAGGUCCUUGAAGGGGCAGUGGAUGGCUCACCUUGUGAAGUUCGCACUGAGCCUCAGAGUAGAACAGGACGGGGUCUUAAGCAUGAACUGUCUGAGCAGUCUGGUGGUAGUGUAGCCACCAACUCUCCCAAGAGGAACAGGGCAGGGCAAAGUGGAGGUGGGCAUGAGAGAAAGGUGUCUGAUGAGAGUGUGUCCAUCUCCUAUCAAGAUGGUGUAGAGGACCCAGAGAGGCUGAGAGAGUUGGAACGCAAGAAAGGUUCCCUCAUCUUUGAGCACAACUUCCAAACAUACUCCAAUAUCCCAUCUACCAACAUGAUGACAGCCAGCAUGAUGACGGCCAGCCUCAGCUCAGAGAGUGGUAGUGUGGGAGUCACUGGUUCGUUGUAUAGCAGCAUGGUAGACAGUGCUUUGUUGGGAAGCAUUCAUUCCUUGGGAGGCCUGGAGGCUUCUACAACAGACCCUGUGCCUCGCCCAGCUUCUGUUGCUCUCCCUGUAAUGCAUCCAAAAGAGGACUCUGGAGUAGAAGCCCCUUGUCCCUCACGGCUCCCUCUCUCGUUGUCACAAAGGAGCACAGAGGCCAUGGAGAUACAACAGGAAAUCACUGAAAGGGAGGAGGCCACUCGAUCUCCUUCCCCCGACUCACUCAGUGUGGAUAUGGUUGCUCAGAGAGGAGCAAAAACAGGCAGUAAGACUGGGAGCAGCUGGUUACAGGGGAGCACCGCUAGUAUUAACAAAGAGGAGAUGGACGAUGAAGAGAAAGAACGUGAUGAUCAGGAUCCAGAAGGCAGGCUGGGCAAUGUUGCAGGUGGCAGUAAUGACUCAAAGGUAGAGAGGAGAGACUUUCCUACGGAAGAGUCAUUUGGACUUAAGACCUUUAGUGGUAGUCCCAGGUUAAGCCGUGACCUUUCAGAAGACACUCCCAUUGUCUCUGGAGGCUCCACACUCAAGCGGGAAAAAGAUUCCACUGGAGAGAGGAAGUCUGUGGCCAAGUGUGAGCGGCAGGUUAGUGUUGGGUCUGUGAAGGAUGUGGACUCCAUUCCUCUAGUGUUUGGCUUCAUUGGCCCACAGGAUGAGGAAGAGAAGCAGAAGGGAGGCCAGGCCAAGGGUGAGGACAGUGGGGAGACAAGUAAGGACAAAGAUGAAGAGAAGCACCAGAGCAUAUUCCCAAUGUUCAUUGAUCUAAAAGACAUCCCCAGCCCAGCUGAGGAACCAAAACCAGCUGAGAAGGAGGCUGCUGCAAGGUCUAAAGGCCCAUCAUCUGCUGUGUAUAUGUACAUUGAGGCCGACGCUCCCUCACCCAAGGCACGGCGGAAACGCAGGUCAGAGAGUGAUGGUGCUGCCUUGGCCAGAACCAGUGAGGGUCAGGCACAGGAAUUUGCCUCCCUCCCCCCAGUGCUGUCUGCUGCACCAGACAUCAACAGAGUGGAGAAUGCUACCAAGAAAGUGCAUGAGAAAAGGGAGGAUCAUGAUGCACUGAAGGAAGAGUCCAAGGAGGCAAGGGAAGCAAAGGAAGGUAAAGAGAAGAAGGGAUUUUUCAUGUUUAUUGAGGCAGAAUCAUCUUCAUCAAAGUCUAGUUCUCCCAAGUCCAAGAGACGCCCUGCAGCUCCACCGGCCAAGAAGCGUGCUGAGAGUGCCAUGACACGCUCGGCUCCUAGUGACUCCCUCCUGUUUUCCACUCAUGACACCAGUCGACUCAUGACCAAGUCAGUCAUUGGCCGUGAGGAGUUCAUAGCUCAGCCCCCAGCUCGGAAAAACGUGAGCCUCAAUGACAAGAUUAACGAGUCAUCGGCCAGCAGCAAGGACGGCACUUUUGUCUCAGGCAUUCCCCGACCCAUCCAUACCCUUAGGACAGCCAAAAGCUCUUCCAGAACAGGCAAGGUUAGAUCAGCGGGCCAGAAGACAGACUCCACUGGUCGACGAGAGGCCUCAGCCACCAGGACCAAGGAUGAGGUCACCACUUCUGAGGCCAACGACUUAGCUACUUCCAGGGACAUCUCCUUGUCAGAACUUGGACCAACCCAGAGCGCUUCCAUUGGAGAGCCAGGCGUAUCAAGCAAGGUCCAGGGAACUGCAGAGACUGAGGAAGCUGUGUCAGAUGUGAGCAGCCUCCUCAGUAGCCUGGAUCGCUCCAACAAUCCCUCAGAGCAAGGCAAUGCUGAACAGAAAUCUAAGCUCGGGGAGGACCUGCUGCGGAUGUUCCUCAAUGAGAUUAACACAGAUGUCACUAUUCAGAUAGGGGAGAAGCGCAUCCGUGCCCACAAAUGCAUUCUGGCAUCAAGAUGUGUGUACUUUGCUGCCAUGCUGUCAGGACACUGGGUGGAGAGUGCUGGCAAUGUCAUCAAACUCCAGGGGUUUUCACCUGAGAGUGUCAUGGUGGCCCUCAAGCACAUCUACAGUGGCACCAGCACAGUUCCUGAGGGAGUAAGGGUUGGAGAGUUGGCAGCCCUGGCAGACAUGUUAGCUCUUGAUGGCCUGAAGGAUGUGAUUGCCCUGCACCUCAAAGCCAAGAUGUGUCAUUACUUCCACAAGCCAUGCUCAGGGUGUCUGGAAGGUGUGCUAGAUGUGCUUCCCAUUGCUGGAGCGUACUGCCUGGAUGAGCUGUACCACCGGUGCCUGCGUUGGGUGGCCAGACACUUUGUUGUUGUUCUUCCCACCAGGAACUAUGCUGCGCUUCCCCCUGAGGUGCAGGACAGGUGCCUUAAACAGCUGCUGGAUGAUAUGAGUGUGAGCAAUGUGCUGGAAACUGCUUUAGGGUGUGAGAGAGUGUUGUCCUCCCUACCCAUGGUGCGCUGGGCCCAGCCAGUGUUUGACUCUGCAGCUCAGCUCCUUGAGUCAGCAACCAGCUUCAUUGCAGCCAACAUGAGUGGAGUUCUGGCUUCUGAUAGGUUUCUGGCACUGGGACGUGACAGUGGCUGGAGCAUUGAGAGCCUGCAAGACACAAUGAGAGUGGCAUGUGAAUUGAUCCGCCCUGACCAGGCUGUUCUAUCUCACCUUCAGCUAACCCAGCUCUUACAGGACAACCAAGAAGAGGGAGCUCCAGAGGUGUCAGAGACUUAUCUGACCUUCCUGGAGACAUUGCUGAGUCAGGUGGAGAAGUUCAUGGUACACAAUGCCAAUCGGGUCGCCGUGUGUCGCAAGUGGCCUCUGUUGUCGGCCUCUGUCCAGCGACGCAUCAAGGACGCUGCACUGGUGGUGGUAGAGUUUUCACGCCCCACUGGUCCACGUCCUAAGCUUUCCUCCACCAAUCGGAGGCCACGAGGAUCCAGCAGCGAGGGCAGCCGAACUCCGGGCCGGCCAGGGGACCACCGGCUGAUGCGCAGUGCCAGUGCCACUGCUGUCCCAAGCACUCAGCGGCCUGGCACAAGGCGCACCCCAGCAAGUGGCCAGGAGCCUGCCCGUUGUCACACACCACCAGCUAGCCUGCCCCGUCCACGCACCCACACACCCCCACCCACCCGUGCCUCCACUCUUCGAGCCCAGGCAAGGCAAAAUGCCAUCCAGAGGUCCCAGUCAGCCCGCACUGUAGCUGACCGGCCGAGGAGGACACGACCUGGUAACGACACAUCCACUGAUGAGGAGACACAGUCCUCCACCAAGCGGACCAUUCCCACUGGAGGCUUCACCAGGGGGGCCACCUUCACUCGUUCCUUGUCCCGACCUGACACUUCUUCCUCCCGCCCCCUCCCCCACACCCCCACCAAGUCAUCGGGUCCCCCACCUUCUUCGCGGCCCCGAACCCCAGGACCACUAGAGGGCUCCCAGCUGCCUCGGAGAACCUCCAUCACGCAGCGCACACCAAGCCAGACUCAAGAGUCCCUGAGCUGUGAGUAACCGUCUCCACUUCUGCCUCCCUUCCCAUAGACCACAGGGAGCUCUGCCUCUGAAGAUGAAAUACCCCACAGAAAGUCCAGCCACACCCAAAGAAGCCAGAGUUUGACUCCAGUGCACAGGGGAGGCAAUGAUAAGCUUGGCCGGACUCAGUCAACU